rnacentral:rRNA from 1 species
GAUGAACGCUGGCGGCGUGCCUAAUACAUGCAAGUCGAGCGAACGGACGAGAAGCUUGCUUCUCUGAUGUUAGCGGCGGACGGGUGAGUAACACGUGGAUAACCUACCUAUAAGACUGGGAUAACUUCGGGAAACCGGAGCUAAUACCGGAUAAUAUUUUGAACCGCAUGGUUCAAAAGUGAAAGACGGUCUUGCUGUCACUUAUAGAUGGAUCCGCGCUGCAUUAGCUAGUUGGUAAGGUAACGGCUUACCAAGGCAACGAUGCAUAGCCGACCUGAGAGGGUGAUCGGCCACACUGGAACUGAGACACGGUCCAGACUCCUACGGGAGGCAGCAGUAGGGAAUCUUCCGCAAUGGGCGAAAGCCUGACGGAGCAACGCCGCGUGAGUGAUGAAGGUCUUCGGAUCGUAAAACUCUGUUAUUAGGGAAGAACAUAUGUGUAAGUAACUGUGCACAUCUUGACGGUACCUAAUCAGAAAGCCACGGCUAACUACGUGCCAGCAGCCGCGGUAAUACGUAGGUGGCAAGCGUUAUCCGGAAUUAUUGGGCGUAAAGCGCGCGUAGGCGGUUUUUUAAGUCUGAUGUGAAAGCCCACGGCUCAACCGUGGAGGGUCAUUGGAAACUGGAAAACUUGAGUGCAGAAGAGGAAAGUGGAAUUCCAUGUGUAGCGGUGAAAUGCGCAGAGAUAUGGAGGAACACCAGUGGCGAAGGCGACUUUCUGGUCUGUAACUGACGCUGAUGUGCGAAAGCGCGGGGAUCAAACAGGAUUAGAUACCCUGGUAGUCCACGCCGUAAACGAUGAGUGCUAAGUGUUAGGGGGUUUCCGCCCCUUAGUGCUGCAGCUAACGCAUUAAGCACUCCGCCUGGGGAGUACGACCGCAAGGUUGAAACUCAAAGGAAUUGACGGGGACCCGCACAAGCGGUGGAGCAUGUGGUUUAAUUCGAAGCAACGCGAAGAACCUUACCAAAUCUUGACAUCCUUUGACAACUCUAGAGAUAGAGCCUUCCCCUUCGGGGGACAAAGUGACAGGUGGUGCAUGGUUGUCGUCAGCUCGUGUCGUGAGAUGUUGGGUUAAGUCCCGCAACGAGCGCAACCCUUAAGCUUAGUUGCCAUCAUUAAGUUGGGCACUCUAAGUUGACUGCCGGUGACAAACCGGAGGAAGGUGGGGAUGACGUCAAAUCAUCAUGCCCCUUAUGAUUUGGGCUACACACGUGCUACAAUGGACAAUACAAAGGGCAGCGAAACCGCGAGGUCAAGCAAAUCCCAUAAAGUUGUUCUCAGUUCGGAUUGUAGUCUGCAACUCGACUACAUGAAGCUGGAAUCGCUAGUAAUCGUAGAUCAGCAUGCUACGGUGAAUACGUUCCCGGGUCU